CAUGGAGGGUGAGAAUCCCGUUCAUGGUUAAUCUUAAGGAAGCUCUACGAUACGUUUUCCAAGAGUCGAGUUGUUUGGGAUUGCAGCUCAAAAUGGGAGGUAAAUUUCUCCUAAGGCUAAAUAUUGGCGAGAGACCGAUAGCGAACAAGUACCGUGAGGGAAAGAUGAAAAGAACUUUGAAAAGAGAGUUAAACAGUACGUGAAAUUGUUGAAAGGGAAACGAUUGAAGUCAGUCAUACCAACGGGAAAUCAACCUCUUGAGCUCGGUCUCGUGGGUUUUGAAGAGUUUCAAAGCCUUCGGAUUCGCGAGAUUGGGAUCUCUUGGUGUACUUUUCCGUACGGUUAGUCAACAUCGGUUUUGUAUGUCAUAAAAUGACUGGAGGAAUGUAGCUUCGAUCUCGUAUUGAAGUGUUAUAGCCUUUGGUAGAUGUGAUGUUUGAGACCGAGGAUUGCAACGGAUACCCUUCAGGGCUAUUCGUCUGAUCUCUGAUACGUUGCCUUGAUGUUGAAAGCUCGCUUAUGAUGUUAGGGUAUUACGGUCAAAAGGUUAGAACGAAUUACAUUCGUUAAGGAUGUUGACGUAAUGG
rnacentral:rRNA from 1 species